rnacentral:rRNA from 1 species
AUUUGAUUGAGAUUGAUUCUGUCUUUUUUAAUUGGUUAAUUUGGAUAAUAUUAAAUACAAGUUUUUGCGUGUUUUUAUUUAUCUUAAUGAUAAAAUAAGUUAUUUGUAGUUUUUAAUUUUGAAUUUUACAUAAUUGUAGAUUCAGUUAAUUAAUUUAGAUCUGUUUAAAGUUGUGCCAGCAAACGCGGUUACACAUCUAGAUCAAAUCAAUUUUUUUGGUUAGUAUUAAUUAAUUUUUUUUAAUAUUUAAUUUAUUUUUUAAGGUGAAAUUUUUAAUUUAAAUUAUAUUUUUUUGGUUUAAGAUUAUACGAAAUUUAGAAAAUAAACUAGGAUUAGAUACCCUAUUAUUCUAAAUGUAAAAAGGUUAACCAUAGUACUAAUAGUUAAGAUCUUUAAAUUAAAAGAAUUUGGCGGUAAUUUAGUCUU